GUGGGGAAUAUUGCACAAUGGGGGAAACCCUGAUGCAGCGACGCCGCGUGAGCGAAGAAGUAUUUCGGUAUGUAAAGCUCUAUCAGCAGGGAAGAAAAUGACGGUACCUGACUAAGAAGCACCGGCUAAAUACGUGCCAGCAGCCGCGGUAAUACGUAUGGUGCAAGCGUUAUCCGGAUUUACUGGGUGUAAAGGGAGCGUAGACGGUUGUGUAAGUCUGAUGUGAAAGCCCGGGGCUCAACCCCGGGACUGCAUUGGAAACUAUGUAACUAGAGUGUCGGAGAGGUAAGCGGAAUUCCUAGUGUAGCGGUGAAAUGCGUAGAUAUUAGGAGGAACACCAGUGGCGAAGGCGGCUUACUGGACGAUCACUGACGUUGAGGCUCGAAAGCGUGGGGAGCAAACAGG
rnacentral:rRNA from 1 species